AUUUUCGACUGUUCCUCACAUGUGCUCGAGAUGGGGAUUUCCUACAAUGGAGAUUCAUUAUCAACCCUAACCCUAGCUUGUGUUCUGUCAACCUUGGGUAUGGUGUCUUCAGAUUCGGCGCAAACUAUUCCUUUGCGUGAGUUAGAGUUGUAGAACAGGGCCUAAUUUCUUUGUCAGACACGUCAAUCAUAGGCGGUUGUAGUUCCCUAGGAUUAAGGUUUCCCAAUGUGCACUCCUCAUUCCUUGUAUUGUCACCUAUUGGCGAUGGAGACCAGCUUGCACUUUCCCUCCUCCGGUUGUCAUCACUAGAGUGUUGUCAAGGUCUACUGGUUGCUCUUGACUGGCCGUUUCUGAUGAUAACUUCCCUCAUUUACCACCGUGAAAGAGCCUGAUUCAGCUCGAAGCCAGGCCCCGUGCUCAUCUCCUUCCGUCUUCGCUGAGGCAAAAGAGGCUUGGUGAUUUCCUUCAACCUGUACACACAAGUAUUUCAUCCCCAAAAAAUUUUUCCAGGUGUUAUCCUCACAUUUAAGCACUUCUUUAAACAAACCACCAAUUUUCAAACCAUUUUCUUUGCUCAUAUAUUGCAGGGGUAAGCCACGGAUUUGGAUCCAGAAGGUGGAGUGAGAAAAGUCGAAGUCUCUUAUCGACAUUUCAGGAAGCCAAGCUUUCAGGGCAAGGUGUGCUCCGUUGAUGGUCCAUGGACUGUGGUUCCAGACUCUGUCUCUAUCAGCUACACACUUAAAAGAAAAGAUGAAUGUAUUUAGACUAAUUUGAUCCAUAGUAAUUGGUUCCUGAGUGAAUCAAAUUCUUCUAACUAUCAUAUGCACAAUGACCGAUUUGAACGGAUUUCCUGAAAUAAUUUUACCCACCAAAGUCAAAUGGGGCUUUCUUACCGCUUCAGCUACAUCGGCCGAGAGUUGUAAUUGGGGUAAGGAACUUACCUCUUGGUAGGAACUCUCUUCGAUCUCCAUAUCCUUGUUAUAGUUUGUAGACUGAAGAGUCGACGACCUAGAUGCACACCAUGAGACUAGGAUUCAAAAAGAAAAUCUCAUGGGUAAAGCUUCUAAACUUGUUAGAAAAUUUCUCACAAAGAGAAAGCUAUAAGUUUUGAGUACCCCUAGCUCUUUAUAACACGGUUUGAAUCUUCUGACAGAUUUUUUUAAGAUGA